rnacentral:rRNA from 1 species
UACGAAGGGGGCUAGCGUUGCUCGGAAUUACUGGGCGUAAAGCGCACGUAGGCGGAAUGUUAAGUCAGGGGUGAAAUCCCGGGGCUCAACCCCGGAACUGCCUUUGAUACUGGCAUUCUCGAGUCCGGAAGAGGUGAGUGGAAUUCCGAGUGUAGAGGUGAAAUUCGUAGAUAUUCGGAGGAACACCAGUGGCGAAGGCGGCUCACUGGUCCGGUACUGACGCUGAGGUGCGAAAGCGUGGGGAGCAAACAGG